rnacentral:rRNA from 1 species
UACGAAGGGGGCGAGCGUUGUUCGGAAUUACUGGGCGUAAAGGGCGCGUAGGCGGCCGAGCAAGUUAGAUGUGAAAGUCCUGGGCUUAACCUGGGGACUGCAUUUGAUACUGCUUGGCUUGAAUUCGGGAGAGGAUAGCGGAAUUCCCAGUGUAGAGGUGAAAUUCGUAGAUAUUGGGAAGAACACCGAUGGCGAAGGCAGAUCUCUGGGCCGUAACUGACGCUGAGGAGCGAAAGCGUGGGGAGCGAACAGG